GACGAACGCUGGCGGCGUGCUUAACACAUGCAAGUCGAACGGAAAGGCCCUGCUUUUGUUGGGUGCUCGAGUGGCGAACGGGUGUGUAACACGUGAGUAACCUGCCCUUGACUUUGGGGUAACUUCAGGAAACUGGUGCUAAUACCUGAUAGGAGCUCCUGCUGCAUGGUGGGGGUUGGAAAGUUUCGGCGGUUGGGGAUAGACUGGCGGCUUAUCAGCUUGUUGGUGGGGUAGUGGCUUACCAAGGCAUUGACGGGUAGCCGGCCUGAGAGGGUGGCCGGGCACAAUGGGACUGAGAGAGGGACCAGACUCGUACGGGGGGCAGCAGGGGGAACUAUGACACAAUGGGCGGGAGCCUGAUACGGAAGCGCCGCGGGCGGGAUGAGGGCCUUCGGGUGGUAAACCGCUUUCGCCUGUGACGAAGCGUGAGUGACGGUAAUGGGUAAAGAAGCACCGGCUAACUACGUG
rnacentral:rRNA from 1 species